GUACUUACUUUGGCAGCACAUAUUAUAAAAUUGGAAUGAUACAGAGAAGAUUAGCAUGGGACCUGCACAAGGAUGACUUGAAAAUUCGUGAACUGUUCCAUAUUUUU